rnacentral:lncRNA from 13 species
UUGAUAAGAUAAUGAUUAAAGUAUUCCACCCUGAAACCAUAUAAUUGUAUGAAAUGUGUAGUCAUAAUCCAAUAAUGUGUGUGACUAGACAUUUUAAGACCAUUGUGUUACUAUUUCGCAAUAUGAGACAACAAAGGACAACUGAACUGUUGACAGACGACUUGUGACAACGGUGAAACUAAUAACUGGAAAGAGGCCUCCCCACCCUAGGGAGGAGAGCAACUGUUAGAAACGGCUUGCAGAAGAUAAUGAAACAUUUUGCAGAAGUGUGAUAAACAAUGUAUGUGAACUGAAAAAUACAGCCCACCUAAAGCGAGGUGGAGUUUCUACUGAUGUGAGUUAAUUUGUGUGUGUGCAAUAAAAAGACUGUUCUCAUUUUGAAGACAUAGCGCUCUCUGAAUAAAGAACUGAUCAUUUGCAUGCUGGGACUCUGUUUCUUAAAACUUAGAGCCUUACAACCUCUAGGAUACAGAAAUAAUUCAGUUAGAACAUUGGGAUAGAAAUUCUCAUGACAGAAGUACUUGUCAUUACCUCAGCUAACAUAAGUAUUUUUAAUCAGUCCACCCCCCUAAAUCAAUACACACCACUAUAUUGUCCUUAACACUUAUUUUAAAUAUACAUAUAUGUUUAUAUAUCUCUAAACCAUGACAGGUUCAAAUAUGGUCUCAACUCUCUUGGGCUGCUCGAGGCAUUGGGGAACCACAAGGACAGCUUCCGAGCACUUUUUGUGGACUCCAUAAAGCCUCCCACUGCCAGGGACCUGUGGGACCUGUUUAAAGUAACCCAUUCUAUACCUGGCGGCAACCGCCGGUGUUUGGAGAACGACACCAUCUGCCACUGGUUCAACUGGCUGGCUGAGGUGCAAGUGGCGAUGGUGUUGGAGUUUGCUACUGGGGCAACGGUGUUGCCACCCCUUGGGUUUGAGGACACCCCGACCAUCGAAUUCCUCCACACAGCGCGAGGGCGUCUCGCUGGGCAGCAGAAGAAAAAGUACCCAGAGUCAAAGACGUGUGCUGUGACACUAAGGCUCCCUCUUCAUAGCACCUACAAUGCCUUUAGGGAAUUCAUGACCGCCGGUAUUGUGAAAUUCCCACAUUUCCGUGUUGCAUAAAAACAUAUUAUUACGAUACAUAAUUGUAUCUAGUAGCACUAAACUACAGUAGCAAUUGAGUGUUUGAAAAUGUAACUGCCACAUCAACAUUUAAUCAAUUAUCUACUUACAUCUGUAUUGUUUGUACAGUGCAUUUGGAACGUAUACAGACCCCUUGACUUUUUCACAUUUUAUUACGUUACAGCCUUGUUCAAAAAUUGAUACAAUAAUUUUUCCCCUCAUCAAUCUACACACAAUACUCCAUAAUGACAAAGCAAAAACAGGUUGUCAUUUUUGCAAAUGUAAAAAAAAUAGGUAAAUAUUACAUUUAUGACCCUUUACUCAGUACUUUGCUGAAGCGCCUUUGGCAGCGAUUACACCAUCGAGUCUUCUUGGGUAUGACGCUACAUUAUUUAUUUAAUACAUUUUUG